AUGAGGGGAGCCUGCAGUAUGUGUUAUCUAAGAGAUGUUUCUGCAAAGGGAGGCAUCAGAAAUAAAUAGGAAGGCUUGAACCUUUUCCUUCUCACCACUGUCUAUUAUGGAAUAACCAACUUGCCCAUAAAAUCAGAGAGUCUGAACCCUGGUGUCUUGUCAAGAACUGGAGUCUGAAGCGUCACUGAGCCUGGUCUGAGGGAGGCAAUGUUUGCUCAGGAUGAAGACUGGGGAUGGUCGUGGAAUCUGGGAACUCAGCAGGAUACAGAAGAAAAAAUGCCAAUGGAAUUAACCAACCAGCUCUCUUCUCUGGAGUCCAGGGUGGCUCCAUUGAGAUCCCUUUUUCCUUCUGCUUCUGCUGGGAGUUGGCCAAGUAUCCACAGAUGAGCAUAGCCUGGAGAUGGAAAGACUACCAUGGAAAAUUCAUCUACAACUCCACUCUACCUUUCAUUCAUGAGCACUUCGAGGACAGGCUCAUUCUGAACUAG
rnacentral:lncRNA from 1 species